rnacentral:rRNA from 1 species
UCAGGACGAACGCUGGCGGCGUGCCUAAUACAUGCAAGUUGAGCGCUGAAGGUUGGUACUUGUACCAACUGGAUGAGCAGCGAACGGGUGAGUAACGCGUGGGGAAUCUGCCUUUGAGCGGGGGACAACAUUUGGAAACGAAUGCUAAUACCGCAUAAAAACUUUAAACACAAGUUUUAAGUUUGAAAGAUGCAAUUGCAUCACUCAAAGAUGAUCCCGCGUUGUAUUAGCUAGUUGGUGAGGUAAAGGCUCACCAAGGCGAUGAUACAUAGCCGACCUGAGAGGGUGAUCGGCCACAUUGGGACUGAGACACGGCCCAAACUCCUACGGGAGGCAGCAGUAGGGAAUCUUCGGCAAUGGACGAAAGUCUGACCGAGCAACGCCGCGUGAGUGAAGAAGGUUUUCGGAUCGUAAAACUCUGUUGGUAGAGAAGAACGUUGGUGAGAGUGGAAAGCUCAUCAAGUGACGGUAACUACCCAGAAAGGGACGGCUAACUACGUGC